rnacentral:rRNA from 1 species
AUAAGUUACACAAGGGCACAUGACGGAUGCCUUGACAUAAAUCACCGACGAAGGUCGUAGAAGGCUGCGAAAAGCCUCGGGGAGCUGCCAAUCAAGCUUUGAUCCGGGGAUUACCGAAUGGGGAAACCCAGCAAUGGUUAUACAUUGUUACUCAUAUUUGAAUCUAUAGAAUAUGAAGAGGGAACGACGUGAACUGAAACAUCUAAGUAGCGUCAGGAAUAGAGAGAAACCUCAAUUCUCCAAGUAGCGGCGAGCGAAAGGGGAAGAGCCAAAACUUUUAUGAUUUUCGCGUGUUCGCACGCGAAUAAGCUGACAGGCGAAUAUUAUAAAGGGGUUGUGAGAUUACAGAUGACCAAUAACGGGUACUUAACACCUUCGGGGGUUGAGUGCGACGUUAUUGCGACCGCGUGGCUGUCACCCACGGGUAAGGUAAGAAAGUUGAAGAUUAGUGGAAGUUGCCGGAAUGCAGCGCCAAAGAGGGUGAAAGCCCCGUACGCGAAAAUCUUUAGCCCUUAUAUCUGUUUUCUCGAGUAGGCCGGGACACGUGAAACCCUGGUUGAAUCUAGGAGGACCACCUCCUAAGGCUAAAUAUGAUUUAUGAUCGAUAGCGAACAAGUACCGUGAGGGAAAGGCGAAAAGAACCCCGGAAGGGGAGUGAAAUAGAACCUGAAAUCAUGUGCCUACAAUGAGUCGGAGCAGAUUUAUUCUGUGACGGCGUGCUUUUUGUAGAACGAUCCAGCGAGUUACGCUCAGCAGCGUUAGGUUAAGUCAUAUGACGGAGCCGUAGUGAAAGCGAGCCUUAAUAGGGCGAUCAAAGUUGCUGGGAGUAGACCCGAAACCGGGUGACCUAACCAUGGGCAGGUUGAAGCGUAGGUAAAACUACGUGGAGGACCGAACCAGGAAGAGUUGCAAAUCUUUUGGAUGACCUGUGGUUAGCGGAGAAAUUCCAAUCGAACCCGGAGAUAGCUGGUUCUCCUCGAAAUAGCUUUAGGGCUAGCGUCACGAACUACCUCAUGGGGGUAGAGCUCUGAUUGAGUAAUGGUCCGCAAGGAUACUGAUCUCUGUCAAACUGCGAAUACCAUGAGAGACUACCGUGGCAGUCAGAACGGCGGGGCUAAGCUCGUCGCUCAAAAGGGAAACAGCCCAGAUCGCCAUCUAAGGCCCCCAAAUCUAUACUAAGUGGGAAACGAUGUGAAAACGCAUAAACAACCAGGAUGUGGGCUUAGAAGCAGCCAUGCAUUUAAAGAGUGCGUAACAGCUCACUGGUCAAUUGUGAUUUUGCGCGGAAAAUGUAACGGGGCUAAGUAUAGUGCCGAAGAUGCGAAUUGAGCGUCAUUUAUGACGUUUAGUGGUAGAGGAGCGUUCCUCUCGCAGUGAAGCCGAGCCGGAAGGCCAGGUGGAGCGUGGGGAAGUGAGAAUGCUGGAAUAAGUAACUUUAAGGCAGGUGAGAAUCCUGCCCACCGUAAGAGCAAGGUUUCCUGGGCUACGAUUAUCGUCCCAGGGUUAGUCGGGCCUAAGCCGAGGCGAGUAGCGUAGGCGAUGGACAACGGGUUGAUAUUCCCGUACCGGCGAGAUUGUUCCUCCAUAUGACGCGGCGUGAUAACUAGAGCGGAUUUUUGGCUAUAUCCGUCUAAGCAGGUAGUCCUCAGCAAUGAGGGUGAGACGCGAAUGAGAGUUCAUGUAAUGUGGACGAUUCUAGUGAGUCAAGCUGACCAGAAAAGUAAUGGAGUAAAUAGAUCUAGCCGCCCGUACCGCAAACCGACUCCGGUGCUCGGGUCGAGAAGACCAAGGUGUACGAGAGAACCCUUGUUAAGGAACUCGGCAAUACAGCGACCGUAACUUCGGGAUAAGGUCUGCCUCCUUCGGGAGGCCGCAGCAAAAGAGUUCAUGCGACUGUUUAUCAAAAACACAGGUCUGUGCUAACACGAAAGUGGAUGUAUACGGACUGACGCCUGCCCGGUGCUGGAAGGUUAAGGGGAGAGGUGCAAGCCUUGAACUGAAGCCCCAGUAAACGGCGGCAGUAACUAUAACUGUCCUAAGGUAGAAUGCUGCUUUAGUGAGGUGAAAGCCCUCUUCUCGUUUCCCUCUGUGCCAAGAGGUUUUGAGAAAAAAUUUGGCCAUAUGCUGGAAACCCCGUGUAUCCUGCACUAGUCAAAACUUGCUUGUACGGACUUUGUUCGGUACAAUCAGGAUUAUGACUGAUAAUGUGACAGGUGCGGACAAUCAGCAGGAAAGGCUUAUCAAGCUUGGAUGGGUUAUUGGUUUUGUAGAUGGAGAAGGAUGCUUCUCAAUCGGAUUCGUGCGCCAAGUCGGUGAUACGAAUCGAAAAGGCUACAAGACUGGCUACCAAGUUGUUCAUCGUUUUGUUGUGACUCAGGGAAUAAAAAGCGCCGAGUCCUUAGAAGAACUAAAGUCCUUCUUUGGAACGGGUCGCAUUAUUACCAAUAAAAGAUACGACAACCACAAAGAGCAUCUUGGUCAAUUCAUUGUUAAUUCUCGUGAUGGGCUUUUGGAUAGGAUUAUUCCUUUCUUUGAGCAAUAUCCUUUACGCACGUCGAAACGGCACGACUUUGAAAAGUUUGCUGAGUGUGUGCGCAGGGUAAAUCGUGGCGAACAUAAAAUGAUUGAUGGUUUAGUUGAGAUUGCGCAAAUUGUGCAAACAAUGAACCGGCAAAAACCACGCGAAAGUUUGAUAAGAAUCCUCAGAGACUACACGCCAGACGCCGCGACAGCGGUAAAGAUAUAGUCCGAACUGUAUGGCGACAUACAGGUUAUGACAUACGUCAUAACGACCAUGUUGACAAGAUAUCAACAAUAUGGUUUAACGUUGAGCGAAAUUCCUUGUCGGGUAAGUUCCGACCCGCACGAAUGGCGUAACGAUAUGAACACUGUCUCAACAAGGGACUCGGUGAAAUUGCAAUACCGGUAAAGAUGCCGGUUACCCGCUCCAAGACGGAAAGACCCCAUGGAGCUUUACUACAACUUGGCAUUGGGCCGAGUUGCAGCUUGUGUAGGAUAGGUGGGAGACUUUGAAGCCAGAGCGCUAGCUCUGGUGGAGUCACCAGUGAAAUACCACCCUGGCUGUUACUUUGUCCUAACCGAUACCGCAAUGUGCGGAGAAGGUUAACAAGAUGCGAUAGUUGCCGUAACGCAACAUAGAUCUUUUAUCUAUAACUCGAAUCUAUAAACGAUUCACCUACAUGCUUACGAGCAACUACUUUGUCUUGUUAGCUAUCCUUCUCAAUACAUUCCGGUAUCGGAACAGUGUCUGGUGGGUAGUUUAACUGGGGCGGUUGCCUCCUAAAGUGUAACGGAGGCGUUCAAAGGUUGGCUAGGUACGGAUGGAAAUCGUGCCGAUAGUGCAAACGCAUAAGCCAGCUUGACUGCGAGGCAUACAAGCCGAGCAGGUACGAAAGUAGGAGUUAGUGAUCCGCUGCAAAAUUUUGAAUGUGGAAUCUGCAGCGCUCAACGGAUAAAAGCUACCCUGGGGAUAACAGGCUUAUAGCUUCCAAGAGUUCACAUCGACGAAGCUGUUUGGCACCUCGAUGUCGGCUCGUCGCAUCCUGGGGGGGAAGCACCUCCCAAGGGUUUGGCUGUUCGCCAAUUAAAGCGGUACGCGAGCUGGGUUCAGAACGUCGUGAGACAGUUCGGUCCCUAUCUGGAGUGGGCGUAAGGAAAUUUGAGAGGAUUGGCUCCUAGUACGAGAGGACCGGAGUGAACGAACCUCUGGUGUAUGGAUUGUUCUGCCAAGGGCAUUGUCCAGUAGCUACGUUCGGUCGGGAUAAGCGCUGAAAGCAUAUAAGCGCGAAACCCACCUCAAGAUUAGAUUUCCCAUGAGACCCCAGAAAGACUAUCUGGUUGAUAGGCACUAGGUGUAAGCACAGUAAUGUGUUCAGCCGAGGUGUACUAAUCGGUCGAUUGACUUUUUUAC